ensembl:lncRNA
GCGCUCGGUCUGUGGUGGGACUGCGCAGCUCCCCGGGCGGUGGGCUCGGCCCCGAGCCGCUGGAGCUCGGGGGACACCGCUCGUACACGGGUGUGGGUUUGGGCGCUGCUGUGUGGCGGCGGGGUUUGGGCUCGGCGGGCCUUCCGUCUGGGCCGCCCUGUGGUUCUGAGGUGAGCACGGAUGGGGCUUGCUGGGUGGGAGCUGCUUGCCGGCGCUCAGCUUGCAGGUGCUAGCGUCCCAAGGGCGCUAAAACCACCUACCCCAUCCUCUCCCUGUAGUUCCAACUCCAGUAGUUUGCUCUUCAAGUGAUGUUUUGUCGAGUCUGAGUGGCUCUCUCACGGGGGCCGUAAGGACCUGGCACCCCCCCACUGCAGAACAGCUGCCCGCUCCCUGUUUAGCUGCAUAGGAGUUUUUUCCCCUCUUACUCUAAUCUUCCUGCAGGGAGAACAAGUGCUUAGGUUUCCUUAUUUUGAUGUGUUUGAAUUUUACAAUUAACUUCUUCCACCCUGGAGAGGUACUGGGCAUUUUUCAAGGCUAACGUGCAGUUGUAUGAGGGAUUGCCUGAAACCAGAACGUUCAACUGAACCUGGCUUUUCUCGUCAAUUAGUACUUCCCAAUAUGAUAAUUUCACCAAAAGUAAACGUUCUGCGAGCUGAAUUUCUUUACCAGAUGGUUUUGCCCACUGCUCUGACGAGUAGAGGUUAAGGAUUUUUCCACGCAUCUUAUUGAAGAUAAAAUGUAAGGGAGCUUAUACUUCAACACGUGAGUUCAAAUACUUAGGAAGGAUGGGAUAGAGCAAGCCAUUUUCACUUGACAACUAAUUCUUCAGUGCACUGUGCACUCUAAGGACCAGCAAGCCUUGUGGCCAGCAGUCCAGACUGCCAGCAUCAACCCUGCUGCCUGCAAUUGCAGCUGGGGCAGGAUGCUUUGGGCCAGUAAUGAAGAAAAAAUGAACAACCUGCAAGAAGGAAGGUUUUCUUUCCUAGCUGUGUGCAGGCAGACCCUAAAAACAGAAGCAGAACUGUGGACCUGAUACGUGCAGCAGCCCAGUUUUCUCGCAACGUAACUGCAGCGGCGUUCCACCUAUCUCCCAGUUCAGGCAAAUAAGAAUCCUCAGCGUUUUCAGGUGAAAGAAGUCCCUUCUCCUGUAAAGAGCCAGCGCCCUUGGGGUAAGGACAGACGGACCAAGCCAGCAAGGAAGUGAUGCCCGUUGGCUCCGCUUGACCUUGAGCAGCCAUCCACUGGAAAACAGCAUUUCUGCUGCCCCCUGCUGCAGGGGUCCUGUGUCCAGGGGAAGGGUUACCCUUCAGACACUGCAGGUCAGCCGGAGCAAGCCGUUCGAAGGAAUACGAUGGGGUGAAGAGGGUGCACGUCUGCAGUGUAAAACCGUCUUGAGUCCACCUGCAGCUUCUGAAACGGGUAGAUGUGAAUUCCCUCUUCUCACAGAAGGGAAGGGGCAGCUCGGAGCAGGAACCACCGGUGAUGACCCAUGAGACAGUGUGUGAAUGCUUUGCAUUGUGCAGUGCUUUGACAUUUGGCAUUCCUAUGGCGUUAUCCCCCAUCAACGCAGAAUAAGUUGUCAGAGCAUGAAAUUGGUAUUUUUACAUAUUCUUAACGUACAGAUGUCAUCUGAAAGCCUCGCACAGGCAUUAUGAUUAAACUCUCUGUUUCAUUCUCUGCCCGUGAACAGAUCCGUUUGGAAGAUCCCUUUCCUUUUGGGGGGGGAGUUAUAGAGAAAAGGCAUAGCCUUAAAAAGUGGCAAUUCUACCCAAUAUUACCAUCGAAAGGUGAAAGCUGAGUUUAAGACGUUGUGCGCUGAGUGCAAUACAGACUCAUAAGUGCAGAGCAGUAGCAUUCAAUUUUUAGCACCUGUGUUCCUGG